GCUUCUUUAAUUUUUGUCUCUCAGAGCAAAUAAUUUAUUGCAUAUAAUAAUCUAAAAAUUACACAAAUACACAACUUAUAUUUUCAAUAUUACAAACAAUCCCAACUCCCUAAACAUAUUACAAAAAUCUCAACAUAUAUACAGAAUGUUAGGUAUAUGUCGGCUAUGUUAUGUAUAUUAUUAGGGAGAGAGAGUAAAGUAGUUAAAAAAGUGGGAGAAAGUGUAAUUACUUCCAAAAGGAUUGAUAUUUAUGUUAUUUAUACAAAUAAUAAUUUCAUAAGUUAUGUUCCGAGUUCUUUUAUGUCCCGCUAGAUGUAAAUUUAAUUGUAAAGGAUAAAAAUUAAAGAUCAACUCAUUUAAAAGGUAACAAGUGAUACAAGCCGAUAACAAACUUCUAUCAGCUUAUUAGUGAAUACAAGUUGAUAUCACGGUGUUUGACAGUAGCUACAAAUUCAAUACAAGUGAUUCAAACUGAUAACAAUUGAUAUAGUAGAGCAAACGAAUGCACAUAAAAUUAGAGUGAAUAAAUAAAAGUGAUACAAGCUGCUAACAGUUGAUACAGUAAAACAAAUGGAUACACAUAACAUAAAAUUAGAGUGAAUGAAUACAAGUCAAACAGAUAACAAUUGAUCAUACAACGAAUAAUGAAUACAAGUUAAAAUAGAGAGAAUGAAUACAAUCCCCUGCAUUUUUAUAAUUUAUACCUUCUAUACACCCAUAUAUUUUUUAUAUUUUGCCUUGAUUGUUUUGGUUGCGCGAACUAAUACAUCGAGUACUUCACUCAAAUAAUACCAUACAAAUAGAAACUAAAGGAGUAAUUGAGAAGUGUACUCACAUCAAUUGAUAUGAUAUGAUAUGAUAGAAUCAUACAAUAGAUAGAUAGAAGUAGCUAUAGGGACGUAGUUAACAUGCAAAUGAAAGGGGACAAAUCCCCCCAAAAAAGAUUAUAUCAAUCAGCUUUCUGCAUCAGUCCCUCAGCUGCCAUCUGCUACCAAAUAGUAGCAUUCUUUUUUCCCAAUAUCAUAUGUAAUGCACUAUUGUCUUUUCUCCCACGAUGUGUCAAAGAUGAAAUAAUGGUUGCUGAUAAAUGUUGUCGAUUUUAAUUACUAGUUCCAAAUUGCUUUGUUUCCUAAAUGACUUUGUUCAGAAAAUAGAAAGAUGAUGGAGCUAUUUAUUAGAACUUUGCCCACAUACAUGUGAUGAUCACUAUGGGGUCGUUUGGUAGCUAGCUUGGUAUAAACGUUUUAAAUCCUGCAUAGGUAACAGAUACUCAACUAUGA
rnacentral:lncRNA from 1 species